rnacentral:lncRNA from 1 species
CUGGGAAACGAAGCUAAUUACAUAAGAAAGAAGAUAAUGCAAACCCUCCAGAUAGCAAAUAGAGACAAGGAUUUCACAAGCCAAGGCCUGGUGCUUGGUAAACAUUGAGUGAACACAGGAUGAAAAACCAGGUGAACAAAUAAAUGAAAACUGUAUGUGGACAGAUUCGAGGACCACACAUUACUGUACAGUGUGGAGGACCUCACUCCUAAAGAAGGGAUGGUGGCUGCCUUACAUCUAUAAACUGAGCAUCAGAAAAAAAAAAAAAUCAAGAAAUAUAAAUUCAAAGCAAAAUCAGCCAUUUUGAAAAGCCGGUCAUGUCACAUUGACAUCUCCAAGAAAGGUUUGACUAAAAUCCAGUUCUCAGGAAGCUACUCCAGUGCAGAGUGUAAAGACUUGAACUUUGUGAGAGGAGGAACAGUAUCCUUUCUCAUCUCUGAGACCUUCCCCAGUGCUUACAACAUCCUGCAUGCACAGCAGAGAUGGGAUGAGUAGUUAAUAAUAAAGAUGACAAUGACCAUUCUGCUCAUCUGGAAGAUGAGGACCUGAAUCAAGCACCAUGUCAGAGCACUCUCUGAUGACAACCAGUGAAUGGAGAAGAUCCUGCAGGGAAGGAAGCAAAGAGAGGCAAGCGUCCAAACAAUCCAAGAGCCAACAUCCCUGGGCUGCCCUCCUGCUCUGAGCUCGUGGCACUCGACUUCCUCAACUGAAAGGAGGAACCGUCGCAGGCAGGCUUACAGUGUGCGUCCUCCCCAGCAUCCUGCUCCAGGGUCCAAAGCCAGACUACACCUGUGUCCCGCGGACACCCCGCAGGGACCCUGCAGCUGCUAGGCUACGUGGACUGCCCUGCAGUGCUAUGGCUCAGGCCCGCAGCGAGCCUCGCGGGCUUCUGGCCUGAGGUCCACCCCCAGCCACAGGCCACUGCCCGGGAGCCACCCCUUGUUUUCAUAAAACACACGCCCAGUCGUUGUGCACAUUUGCUAGUUGUCCUGGGCCUUCUCUGUUUUGAUCCAAGCGGGGAUGCAGAGUCUGCUGCAAAUUCGCUGUGUUAGGGGCCUCCCGGCUGCUGUCGCCUUACUCUGGGAUGAUGGGAGGGUCGCCUCUGUACUCAUGGUUCUUCUCCAGUCUCCCGACUUUGGCGAGGCACCAGGUGUUUUCUCUAAGGCUGGAGCCAGGGUUUGUUCCUUACCACUCUGAGAAGCUGUUGUUGUUGUUGUUGUUAUUGUUGUUGUUGUUGUUGUUAAUAAUAAAGUUGCUUCCCCAGCCUUCCCCAGGGACCAACUGAACCACACCCUUUUCUUCUCCUCCAGAAUAGAUGAAACCACAGACCAAAGCCCUUUGGUUGCUUCUGCCAACUCCAAAUGGGCUCAGACCCACAAAAGCCGAAA